rnacentral:siRNA from 1 species
AUUAGAUAGACAAGUUUGGUUUAU